UCAGAUGCGGUUCCUCACUGUAUUCAGGAGCUGAUUCACUUGCCUGCUUUGUAGCCACAAGACAGAAUAUUGCUGCAGUACAGAAAGGGGCUCUCAGUUUCUGAGCGAGGAGCUUCUGUAACAUUCAGAUGGAGACUAGAUUUCUUAGAUGGUGUAUUGCAGGGAACAAGGAUCGUUUUCUUUUGAGAACAUGCAUUCUGCCACUCACUCAGUUCUUCUGAUCAUCUUAAUAUUCAGAGGGACCAAUGGUGACUCAGUGAGCCAGACAGAAGGCCCAGUGACUGUCUCAGAGGGGGCUCUCAUGACCCUGAACUGCACUUACCAGACGGCUGAUUCGGCUUCCUAUCUUUACUGGUACGUCCAGCAUCUCAACAAAGCUCUUCAACUCCUCCUGAAGGGCUCGGCGAGAGACCCAAAGCCAAAGAGUGAAGGUUUUCAGGCCACUCUUGUUCAGGGUGACAGGUCCUUCCACCUGCAGAAACGGGCAGUGCAAGCAUCAGACUCGGCUGUGUACUACUGUGCUCUGGGUGACACAGUGACACAGGGCUGCGGGGGGAGCUGA